rnacentral:lncRNA from 1 species
AUGAAUGGAAUAUCGAAAUCUGCUUCUUCCCCAAUUAUCCUUCUUCUUCUCUAACCUUCUCCUUCCCCCCUCUCAUCUCUCCCCAUCUCUCUGUAUCUCUCCAUCUCAAUUUCCCCUCUCCUCUACUCUCUACUCUCUACUCUCUACUUCUCUUUCUCUUUUCUCUGUCACUAUCUCCCUUUCCCUUACCUCUUCUAGCUCGGUUACCUCGGAUCGGCGACUCAAGGCCACCAUCAUCCUCAUCGCCGACCAAGCCUCAGAGCAAUCUCAUCAUCGGCGGCUGUGACAGGUCCGGGGUUAUUACAGUAAAAUCACCCAAAACACGAGUUGUCUAAACAAAGUACUUUUACAAAAAAAAUUUCUCUUCCAAUAUGUAUGAUUGAAUUCCAAAUAUAACAAUCGUAGAGGAGCAAAUCCGUAAUUAUAUUUUUCCCUUCAUCUAUAAUAGAGCACGUCAAAACUUCCCCCAUAAUAAUAAUUAUAACAAUAUUUACUAGUAACAUAUAAUAUAUUUUUUUAGACUAAAUUAUAGAAAAACUCCCUGUCAAAAUCCGAUUUUUCACUUUUUUUCUUUCUCUUUUAAAAACCUACACUUUACCCCUUUGUAAAAUGAAAAAUGUUCACAAGGGAACAGUGUGAAUUGUGAUGAUAAAAUGAGAAUUUUGCCCCUCAUCAUGUUCACAAAAGAAAAGGCUGAGGGCAUUUCUGGCAUAAAAAUAUAUAUAAUAAUAUUUUAUAAAUGAAAUCCUAACGGAUUACUAACGGCAUGGGACGAAGUGAACAUUUUUUAUUUUACAAAGGGGCAAAGUGUAGGUUUUUAAAUGAUAGGGGGAAAGUGAAAAAUCGGGUUUUGACUGGAGGGUUUUAUGUAAUUUAGCCAUUUUAUUAUUAUUAUUACGAACGCAUAAUAAGGAUAGCGAUCUGAUAAAUGUGGACGAAAU